AGUGAACGCUGGCGGUAGGCCUAACACAUGCAAGUCGAACGGCAGCACAGUAAGAGCUUGCCCUUACGGGUGGCGAGUGGCGGACGGGUGAGGAAUACAUCGGAAUCUACUUUUUCGUGGGGGAUAACGUAGGGAAACUUACGCUAAUACCGCAUACGACCUACGGGUGAAAGCAGGGGAUCUUCGGACCUUGCGCGAUUGAAUGAGCCGAUGUCGGAUUAGCUAGUUGGCGGGGUAAAGGCCCACCAAGGCGACGAUCCGUAGCUGGUCUGAGAGGAUGAUCAGCCACACUGGAACUGGGACGCGGUCCAGACUCCUACGGGAGGCAGCAGUGGGGAAUAUUGGACAAUGGGCGCAAGCCUGAUCCAGCCAUACCGCGUGGGUGAAGAAGGCCUUCGGGUUGUAAAGCCCUUUUGUUGGGAAAGAAAAGCAGCAGGUUAAUACCCCGCUGUUCUGACGGUACCCGAAGAAUAAGCACCGGCUAACUUCGUG
rnacentral:rRNA from 1 species